CAGGGAGACGGGCAACUCCUUACACACUUCCAAUGUGAAGACACCCCAUGAGUCUAGAUCAGGAGCAGCACAGGCCAUGUGACAAGUCCUCAGGUGGGACCAGGAAUCUCCUCUGCCAUCUUGGCUCUGCCUUUUGCUAACCAGGGAGUGUCUCCACUUUAGCUGACAAUAUCCUGAACCAUGAAAUCAAGAAGAUCCCGUCUCUUGGCAUCUCCAUCUCCAGACAGGGAGAGGAGACUCAUCUGUGCUGACCCAUCUCUCUAACAGGUUGGCCUCGAUCUUUCUGCACACCAAGGAUCAGAUCCCCUCCCCCACCAUGGACCAGCGGGACUGGAGAUGGACUUAAGAUGAACCUGGCUGGGUAAGUGAGAAACAGCUGAAGAACUCUUAAGCAUACCGACGCCCUCACAGG
rnacentral:lncRNA from 1 species